UUGACCCCAGCAAGAAUUAGGUUCUUCGCAAUUUCGGCGCCAAGGCCUUGCAUCCCCGAUACAAGGAUGUUGGAUGCAAAGAGCCGCCGCAUGGUCUCACGGCCGUAGACAGCAAGCUGACGGCUGUGAAGAUCCUCAUCAAUGUCUUGCGAUUUCCCGUUCCCGAGAGUCAUGAUCGGAGAUUCAACGUUUCCGCUACCGUGAUUGUUGGUGAUUAUGGUGGCGGUGGGGUUGCCGGUAAUUUUAGCGUUCCCCCUGGUUGCGGAUGAUGCAGCACUAGGCCCGGAGCACGGGACGGG
rnacentral:misc_RNA from 1 species